GAUGAACGCUGGCGGCGUGCCUAAUACAUGCAAGUCGAGCGAACAGACGAGGAGUUUGCUCCUUUGACGUUAGCGGCGGACGGGUGAGUAACACGUGUAUAACCUACCUAUCAGACUGGUAUAACUUCGGGACACCGGAGCUUACACCGGAGAAUAUCUUGAACCGCAGGGUUCAAUGGAGAAAGACGGCUUUGCUGUCACUACUAGAUGGAUCUGCGCUGCAUUAGCUAGUUGGUAAGGUAACGGCUUACCAAGGCAAGGAUGCGUAGCCGACCUGAGAGGGUGAUCGGCCACACUGGAACUGAGACACGGUCCAGACUCCGACGGGAGGCAGCAGUAGGGAAUCUUCCGCAGUGGGCGAAAGCCUGACGGAGCAACGCCGCGUGAGUGAUGAAGGUCUGCGGAUCGUAAAACUCUGUUAUUAGGGAAGAACAAAUGUGUAAGUAACUAUGCACGUCUUGACGGUACCUAAUCAGAAAGCCACGGCUAACUACGU
rnacentral:rRNA from 1 species